rnacentral:rRNA from 2 species
AAAGAAACCAACCGGGAUUGCCUCAGUAACGGCGAGUGAAGCGGCAAGAGCUCAAAUUUGAAAUCUGGCCCCCUCGGGGUCCGAGUUGUAAUUUGCAGAGGAUGCUUCGGGUGCGGCCCCCGUCUAAGUGCCCUGGAACGGGCCGUCAUAGAGGGUGAGAAUCCCGUCUGGGACGGGGUGUCCGCGUCCGUGUGAAGCUCCUUCGACGAGUCGAGUUGUUUGGGAAUGCAGCUCUAAAUGGGUGGUAAAUUUCAUCUAAAGCUAAAUACUGGCCGGAGACCGAUAGCGCACAAGUAGAGUGAUCGAAAGAUGAAAAGCACUUUGAAAAGAGAGUUAAAAAGCACGUGAAAUUGUUGAAAGGGAAGCGCUUGCGACCAGACUCGCCCGCGGGGUUCAGCCGGCAUUCGUGCCGGUGUACUUCCCCGCGGGCGGGCCAGCGUCGGUUUGGGCGGCCGGUCAAAGGCCUCCGGAAUGUAGUGCCCCUACGGGGGCACCUUAUAGCCGGGGGUGCAAUGCGGCCAGCCUGGACCGAGGAACGCGCUUCGGCACGGACGCUGGCAUAAUGGUUGCAAACGAC